CAGUCGCCGCGGGAAUACGAAGGUCCCAAGCGUUGUUCGGAAUCACUGGGCGUAAAGGGAGCGUAGGCGGCGUGGUAAGUCAGAUGUGAAAUCCCGGGGCUCAACCCCGGAACUGCAUCCGAUACUGCCAUGCUUGAGGGUUGGAGAGGUAGCUGGAAUUCUUGGUGUAGCAGUGAAAUGCGUGGAUAUCAAGAGGAACACUCGUGGCGAAGGCGAGCUACUGGACAACAUCUGACGCUGAGGCUCGAAGGCCAGGGUAGCGAAAGGGAUUAGAUACCCGAGUAGUCCCUGUCUCUUAUCC
rnacentral:rRNA from 1 species